rnacentral:tRNA from 1 species
CAACGCUUUUGUAAAGCGUAGGUCGUCGGUUCGAGUCCGACCUUGGGCU